GCAUAUCAAUAAGCGGAGGAAAAGAAACCAACAGGGAUUGCCCUAGUAACGGCGAGUGAAGCGGCAACAGCUCAAAUUUGAAAUCUGGCUUCGGCCCGAGUUGUAAUUUGUAGAGGAUGCUUUUGGUGAGGUGCCUUCUGAGUUCCCUGGAACGGGACGCCAGAGAGGGUGAGAGCCCCGUAUAGUCGGCCACCGAUCCUCUGUAAAGCUCCUUCGACGAGUCGAGUAGUUUGGGAAUGCUGCUCAAAAUGGGAGGUAUAUCUCUUCUAAAGCUAAAUAUUGGCCAGAGACCGAUAGCGCACAAGUAGAGUGAUCGAAAGAUGAAAAGCACUUUGAAAAGAGGGUUAAAUAGCACGUGAAAUUGUUGAAAGGGAAGCGCUUGUGACCAGACUUGUGCCGGGCUGAUCAUCCAGUGUUCUCACUGGUGCACUCGACCCGGCUCAGGCCAGCGUCGGUUCUCGUAGGGGGAUAAAAGCUUCGGGAACGUGGCACCUUCGGGUGUGUUAUAGCCCGUUGCUUAAUACCCUUGUGGGGACCGAGGUUCGCGCUCUGCAAGGACGCUGGCAUAAUGGUCAUCAGCGACCCGUCUG
rnacentral:rRNA from 1 species